rnacentral:rRNA from 1 species
UACGAAGGGGCUAGCGUUGCUCGGAAUUACUGGGCGUAAAGGGCGCGUAGGCGGACAGUUUAGUCAGAGGUGAAAGCCCAGGGCUCAACCUUGGAAUUGCCUUUGAUACUGGCUGUCUUGAGUUCGGGAGAGGUGAGUGGAAUGCCGAGUGUAGAGGUGAAAUUCGUAGAUAUUCGGCGGAACACCAGUGGCGAAGGCGACUCACUGGCCCGAUACUGACACUGAGGCGCGAAAGCGUGGGGAGCAAACAGG